UCUUUUAGUCAAGUUAGUAUAAAGAAAAUAAACAUAGGCAUCUCCAAGACAAUAAUUACAUGUCCAAGAAGGUUGAGGUGCUGAUCUCCAUGGGAAAAUCCACUAUUUCUCUUGCUAAUCACAAUUUCCAGAACUAGAACUCCAAAACUAAAUACAUCUGAUUUUUGUGAGAACCGUCCAUGCACUGCGUAUUCUGGUGCCAUGUAACCACUGCAUGGAAGUAUUUGUCAGAUUAUAAUGUUAAGAACAAUGGAAGUAUAUUAGCAAGAUAUUGUGCCGUUGAGAUUCUUACUAUGUUCCAACUACUUUGCUUGUCUUAUCUUCGGUUUCAUUCCCUCCAAAACUUCUAGCAAUGCCAAAGUCAGAUAUUUUAGGAUUCAUGUCAGUAUCUAGCAAUAUGUUGCUCGCUUUGAGGUCUCUAUGAAUAAUUCUCAUUCGGGAAUCUUGAUGAAUAUACAAUAAUCCCCUAGCCACUCCAUUAACAAUUUGGAGGCGCUUAGGCCAAUCAAGUAAUGCACUUCUGGUUUGAUCUGCCAAAAUGUUGUGCUAGUUAAUAUACGACAUCCAAUUGUAGUUGGAUGCCAAACUCUUGAAAUUACUUCCAAAAUCUAUUAUCAAAUAUUUACUCUGCAAAAAAAACUAUAUUGUAACACAAAAUGUUGAAUGGUGCAAAGGAACAAUGCUUUCCUAUAUUUAUGCAAUCAACUAGGAUUCAAUUCUUAACUAGCAUUAAUCUUCGUUUCAUUGCAUGAUUUUCUAAGUUAUCCCUAACCAUAUGGCUCGAACAAUGACUUAAACUAGUAGAAAUUCUUUGUGGCUUUAUAUAGAAAGGUGGUUUUGAGCUUAUUGUACUAGAAUUAGAAAUUUUACCAAAUAAAAUCAAGUCCAGGCUUUUGUUGGGCAUGUAUUCAUAAAUGAGCAUCUUUUCUUCUCCUUCUAUGCAGCAUCCUAGAAGCUUCACAAGAUUUCGAUGCUGAAGUUUAGCGAUACAAAUAACUUCAUUCUUGAAUUCAUCAAGUCCUUGCAUGGAAGUUUUUGACAACCUUUUCACAGCAACAUCUUGUCCAUCUUCCAAAGUUCCCUAAGAUCAGAAUUUGUUCAUUUGAGAAGGUAUUUAUUGAAUGAACUUGAAGCAGCACUGAAUUUUUUAUCUAUUACUCUCUUUUAGUAUGUCUCAUAGGCUAACCUUUAUGUUAUGUGAAUUGAAUUUGAAGACUUCAUCCCUUGUGGAAUAUUUGAAUAUUCAUACAGAUAUAUGUGUGAAUGAUGCUCAGUGUGCAGAAUUGUUUAUCACCUUUUAAAAAUUUUCUUACAGAAUUUUGAGGAAGACCACUUUUUUCAGGUCUUCAUUAUUGUUGAAUUGAACCUAUGGAGCAAGUCUAAUUUUCAGAAGACGCACAAUAUUGAUCUUCAGCAAAUGUUCUUUGUUUUAAGAAAAAAAUAUUACAUUUCUUGCUGGGAUUAAUGUCUACUGCUUAAGGGUAAUUCACCAUUUUAAAUCCUUAUUUUGUGCACAAGUUUUUGCUCCAAGGCAUUGCUGCUCAAGUAAAGUUCACUGGUCAUGUAAUUCUUCUAAAUAUGUGGAUUUUAUAUAAGUAUCUAAAGGUCUAAUUUCCUCGAAGUACUGUAUUCACUUUUCACCUUAUAAACAGGCCCGUAUCCACCUUGUCCAAGCUUCUUGUUGACGGAAAAGUUAUUGGUGGCUUUCAAAAUUGUAGAUGCGCGGAACAUUGGCAGCUCAUAGUCUUUGUUAUGAGCUUCAGUACCACUUCCUGAAACAUGAAUAAUAUAAGCAUGUAAUUUAGCAGAUAGAAGUUGAAAAGUGAGAGUAUUCUAGACCUAUUGUUAGUUAAUCUUUCACCAUAAAAUGGCACAAAUUUACUCACCUUCUGUUCUCCAUUUUGUGCAAUUUUUCUUCCUUCUAUGAUAAUAUAUUAUUCACCCUUUAAACAAUUCAAGGGUGUCCUUCGGUUGCAACCAUUCGUCCAAUCUGACCUACUCCAACCUUCUGGAUCUUUUGGCUCAAAUUUAUCAAGACAUACACAUGCAGGAGUAUUUGCAAUAUUGCAACUACCAUAAGCACCACACAAUUUAUAAGUAUCACAAUUAUCUGCUGGAAAAUUGACAUAAGGGAUCCAGUCAUGGAUCCGAUCGACCCAUGUCCAACGUUGUACAGUACCAGCCUGAGUCAGGAUAAUCCUUGAAAUAAUUGAAUUGUCAAUGGCCUCUAGCCUAUGGUAUGCCUUGUCCUUUUUCAUGAAAAAUACAUAUCUGAAAUUCAUAUCCUGCGCUGAGUUUGUUUGCCCGCUAAAGGCAAGACCAUUCCAUGGCCCUAUUCUAUACAGAGUAGUUGUACCUCUUUUUAUGACUUGCUGUGGAUAUCCAGUUGGAUCCAACCAAAAUGUGAAAUCCCCUCUAGCUGGAUCGUCAUUGGUCUUCCAUGAUGACAGGUAGCUCUCUACUCCUGUUACAAAAUUCCAACCAAUACUCAUGUCUGGUAGGGACGUAUCACUUAGAUAAUCAAAACUCUGCCAAAGAAAAUUAUCUGGACGAUCAUCAUUUGCUUCUCUAAGGACAAGAUUUCCAGUGUCCAACAAUUGUAAAACCGGUGUCCGAGCAACUCUUGAUGUAUUGGAAGACCAUAUGAUGUUAUUAGUGUCAUUCAGAACGACCAAGAUACCCGGCUCCAUUACUUUCAAGAUGCCUGAUGAACUUCUUACUGGAAUUUCCCUGUUGGCUACCCAAACUGCAGUGCUAUUAGGUAUCUUUUGGUACCAAAUUCCCACAUACCGAUUAUUGGAGUUACCAGGGCUGAAAAAUCCCAGUUCAAAUCUUCCCCCUGAUGAAACCAGGGUGUCGCCAUCUCUAAGAAUCUGAGUUGUAUUAAUGAUAUCUAUAGCUGUCGAAAUCUUGAGGAUGGAUGGUAAAAAUGAUAGGAGAAGAAGAAACGGUACAUGUUUAAUUGGUUUCUUCAUUGCCUUACUUUGUGUUACUGUCUUGGGCAUUCAAUACAACUAAAAGAAUUUCAGAUUUGUUCACUGAUGGAAAAUUGACAAUAAAUUGUUUACUUUAUUGUAUAAUAAUAAUAUAGAAUGCUAGUCUGUAAAGUAAACUAGUUUGAAAUUAUUAGCUACACGAGUUUGAAAUUUUUUAUAAUCUAUUAGUUUAUUCCUCUUUUUCAAUCAUCAGUAUUUUUAACCAAUACAAAUAUCAGCCUGGUCCAAGCACUUGAAAAUAUUUGGUUUGCAUGCUAUUAUUUUAUGGUACCAUGUGUGAUUUCUUUGGUUCUAUUAAAAAUUCGAAUUUUUUUGUUAAUAUAAGGAAUUAUUCAUUGGUUACUCUGAUUGAGGAAUUUGCCAUUACAAUUGCUGUAACAGAUUGAAAAUCUGAAGUUUGACAAAGUCCACUUUUUGUAUUCAAUUUGACUAUUGUGAAUCUGAAUUGGAGUAUUUCUUUUUGUUAUUCAUAGUCUUUCCUCGCGUAGAAGUUUCAACUUAAAAAAAAAAAAAAAAAAAAAAAAAAAAAAAAAUAAAUUUCCCCUAUAAAAAAAAAAAAAAAAAAAAAAAAAAAAAAAAAAAAAAAAAAAAAAAAAAAAAAAAAAAAAUUNNNNNNNNNNNNNNNNNNNNNNNNNNNNNNNNNNNNNNNNNNNNNNNNNNNNNNNNNNNNNNNNNNNNNNNNNNNNNNNNNNNNNNNNNNNNNNNNNNNNNNNNNNNNNNNNNNNNNNNNNNNNNGGGGGGGGUGGGUCCCCCCCCCCCCCCCCCCAAAAAGGCCCAAUUUUAUUUAUUUAUUUAUUUAUUGUGAAAAUAGUUUUUUUACUUGUAAUUUUUUUUUUCGCGUUACAAUCCACCCUGAAAUUUUGUAAUCCGAUCUUGAAUCAAAUUCUGGAUCCGUCCACCAUAAACCAUAAUGAAAAAAAAAAAAAGUGUCUAAAAUCCCGAUACCAAGGCAACGAUCCCUACUCCUAGAAAGAUUCAAAUAACCUCAUUUAAAUAAAAACACUAAAUCUAUAAAUUACAUUAAAAUAACACGAUUAAAUUAUUAGAUGGGACCAGCCAAGGAUCAACGCCGAUAUCCAGCUCGUAGGUUGCAUCAGUCUCCGUAGCCUAAAAAUGGUUUGCCUAGGAAACAAAAAUAUCAGUAGUAUAAGACGAGUCAUUGCCUUGCCAAUAUGUCCGGCUGGAUCUCAAACACAAGUAGCCUUUGGUAUUCCUUCUUUUGGUAGUGAUUCUUCAACACUAAGUACACGAUGUAUUUGAAGGAAAGAACUCAUGAAGGAAUGGUAAAGUUCAUUACCGGUGCUAUGUUACCUCUAAGCAUAGUGAAAAACGAUCGUUUAACAACAUUCGUGAAAAAAUAUCUCUUACCAAGGUACUUAGGGGUAAGUAGAAACACUCUUCGUAAUGAUACACUGGAGUAUUUCGUUAGAACCAAGAACCAAUUGAUUAGUGAUUUACAUAAAUAUGAUAGUGUUAUAUCGUUUACUUCGAUAAAUAAAAAGGUUAUAUAAGAUCAACUGCACACUAUAUAAACCCAUUUUGGGUGAUGCAUAAAAAAAUUGAUGCUUUCAAGUUUGAAUUUCCUUAUAAUGCUAACAAUAUAUUUAACGUUCUCAUAUAAAUUAUUGAGGAAUAUUGUUGUGAAAGUAAGAUUCGUUUUUUUACGUUUGAAAAUGUUAGUGUUAAUAAGCUUGUUAUAUAUAAACUUUUUAAAGUACUUAAUAUUGAUUUUGGUGGAUUUUAUUUCAUGUAUGUUGUCUGUAUCUAUAUAAACCCAUUUUGGGUGAUGCAUAAAAAAAUUGAUGCUUUCAAGUUUGAAUUUCCUUAUAAUGCUAAAAAUAUAUUUAACGUUCUCAUAUAAAUUAUUGAGGAAUAUUGUUGUGAAAGUAAGAUUCGUUCUUUUACGUUUGAAAAUGUUAGUGUUAAUAAGCUUGUUAUAUAUAAACUUUUAAAGUACUUAAUAUUGAUUUUGGUGGAUUUUAUUUCAUGUAUGUUGUCUGUAUCACAUUUUUAAUUUAAUUGUGUAAGAUAGAAUGGAGCAUAUUAAGGAUCAAUUGAUAGAAUCAGGAACACACUUAAUAUUUUAUCUUGGGGUAUAUUAUCCCACUAGUUCAAGAGUUCUUGAACUUCUUUUUGUCAUUAAAAUACAUUUCAAAAUACAAAAAUGAUCUCACUUUUUCUGAAAUAUUGUGUGUGCUACAAUGGCAAUUACAAUGGGAAGUAAGGCUGUAAGGCGGAGCGAAUCCGGAAAGUAAGGACAUCUUGAGCAAAAUGACCUUUUUUUUUUUUUUUUGAAAUUGAAGUUUUGAAAAUAUUUGAAAGGCUUGCCUAUGUUAUUUCUUUUGGCAAGUGUAAUGGAUCACAGGUACAAUUUAAAAAGCACUAAAUAUAUUAUCCAAAGAAUCCCAAAUUAUUUUGAUUUUGACCAACCUAUCACUUAUUUAAAUUUAGAAAACACUUUAACUUCUAUACACGAAUUGUAUGCACAAUGAUUGAAUGCAAAUUAGUUGAGCAACCUCCGUACCCACCUGUGUUGCUAAUUUUAAAGAAAACGAUGUAGAACUAGUGAAUUUAUUUGAAGACAUUAGGGAUGAAAGAUAUGAUGCAUGAGGUUCUUCUUCUAGUAGUCUCCUACAUGUAAUUCGACAGCGAAUGCAAGUCCUAUUGGAAUGUCUGCUAAAGCUUAGUAGCAUAGAACCAGUUGAUGCAAUAUAAUUUGAUUUAAUUGAUUUAUGGCAAAAGAAAGAAUGAAAAUGCCUUUAUGUUUUUACCAUUACAAAAAAUCUAUUAACACCUCGAGUUCGUAUUGUAGUUUUGGAGUUUGCUUUAGUGCACAUUGUCCAAGGUCAAGAGUAGAAUGAAAGAAGAUAUUUUGAAAGCAGUAAUGUACGUAAAGGACUGACAAGACGCAUAUUUUCGAAUAAAACUAAGUAUGAGGAAAUUGCGUAUAGUCAAGUAAAUGAUAUUUAAUUUCUCAUAAUGUCAUACAUUUAAACUUUUUGAUUUUGUUAAUAAUAUUUGACUUUUUAGAAAAAUUGUAUAUGUAACAAGUUAUUCGUGUAUAAUUUUUAACUCUGCCAACUUGAAAAUUAAUUAGCGAUCUCAAGCCUGUAUAAAAGGAGGAGGGUUUGAAAAUAAAAUUUUAAAAAGAACUUCAAAUCUCAAUUCAAUUUAUCAUUUAUAUAUUCUAUUUCUACAUUUUCAUACAUUUGAUACUUAUGCAAUUCAAUUAUUCAAAUCAAACCUCAUUUAUUUUUCUUCUUUGAACCAGGUUUGAAUUUUUUUAAAAAAUCAAGCCUUUGAAAACAAAGAAUCCCCAAAUUCCAAGUAUCAUCAAUGAAACAUGCUGUCAAAGAAGAAUUCAUUUCCUUAAAUUCCAAUAUUGCCAAUGAAGCAUGCUGCCAAGCAGCACUGUGUGUUUGGUAGCACGCUUCAUGGGCGAUUCUUGAAAUUUGAUGAUUCUUUGUUUCUGGAGGCUUAAUUUUUUUUUUUUUUUUUAAAAAAGGUACACAUAACAAGUAGUUCAUGCACAAUUUUAAUUCCACCUACUUGAAAAUAAGUAGCUGAUUCCAAGGCCCUAGAAUUUGAGUGGAAAAAAAAUGAUGUAACGCCCUGACUCCUUGUGGACCGGAACGCUACUUACUUUAUUUAACUAACGGUGGUUUAGUCAUAUGAGAAUAUGUUUUAGCGAAAGUUUAAUUUUUACAAUGAUAAUUUUAACAACCACCUUUCGAAUACUUUAAAUAAAACACUGAACAAAAAAAUAACGGAACGUAAUUUAUUUGAAGAAAAUACAAUCUGUUCUCGCGUUCAGCGUUAUUCAAAUACUUUAAAGAAAUAACAUUGAAAACGUUCACAAAAAUAAAUCUAAAUAACUUGUUCACUGGGUUUUCCAUGGGCUCGUUGCACCACUCUCCAUCUUUUUCAUCAUCCAGGCCCAAGGUAGAAUCAUAUCAAUCUGUAGAGAAGGAGUUAAACCCGUGAGUUAAAAAAACUCAAUAGACAUGUAGAGUCAUGACUUAACACGACGCCUCGAUCGGAAGUACAUGUCAUACCGGAGGUACCAUUAGACAUACAAACAUUAACAUAAAUCUUCAUUUGCUAGAAACUUAUAACUUAACACGAAUUAAUACUUUCCACCUCUACCUACCUUGAUUGAUGCUUUGAACCUUGUUGAAAAAUGUACUCCUUUGAUUUUUCAAAAAAACGGUCCAUUGAGAAUUGAUACUUGGAAAACAUUUCUUGAUAGCACCAAAACUUCUAGGAAAAACUAAUUUUCCUCCCUCUCAUUUCUCUUUUUUCUAGACUUGAAAACUCUCUUUUAUGUUUAGAAGUUUUUGUCUUGGUGUAAAAAAUAUGUAUGCAUUGGGGCCUAUUUAUAGGUGAAAAUCUCACAACUUAAGGGUAAGUGAAAGGCCUAAUACUAAUUAAUACGGGUGCCAUUUAUGUGGGAGUUAUAGGUUUAAGAAGGUGCUAGAAAAUCAUGUAGGAAUUUGACUUUUCAUAUUCCGCAUACUUCGGUUGAUACUGUACAGCCUUUAAUAUUUCUAUCAUAACUUCUUCUCUCGAUAUCUGAUUGAGGUAAUUUAAAGUGCGUUGGAAAGUUAACUCAAAGAGAUACAACUUUUCUUGAGAUAUCAUUUUCCAAAUCAAAUUUUUUCUAUGUCGUGAAUGGGUCUCAAAUGAGACUAAAAAUCUGAAGUAUAUUUUAGUUAUCCAAUAUUCAUGUCUUAGUGCCACUAAGGUGUUUAAAAUUAUUUGGGGUUCUACAUCCCUCACACCUUAAUUAAAAUUUCGUCCUCGAAAUUUACCUUCUGAUUGGGCGAAUAGUGUUGGAUACUUGUUUUUGGCUUCCUCUUCCCCUUCCCAAAUGGUUCGAUAUAGCGGGGUCGUAGCUUUCCUUUCUUACCAAACCUAAGUACACUUUUCAUCGGUACCACUUUCAAAACACUUUUUCUCCAACUUUGAAUUCUAAAUCCUUCCUCCUGUAUUCGCAUAGCUCUUCUUUCGAUUCUGUGCUGCCUUUAUCCUUGCACGGAUCUUAUCGAUUGCCUCAACUAUCCUUUCAAUUAUUACUGGUCCCAAAACUCUCUUCUCCCCAACUUCAUCCGAAUGAACAAGAGACCUACAUCUUCUACCAUAGAUAGUUUCGUACGGUGCCAUCCCGAUAGUUGUUUGGAAGCUGUUAUGAUAUGCGAAUUCUACUAGGGGUAUGUAUGACUCUCAAUUACCCCCUAGAUCCAAAACACAUGCUCUCAGCAUGUCUUCCAAAGUUUGGAUGGUCCUUUCAAAUUGACCAUCGGACUGAGGGUGAUAUGCUGUACUAAAGUUCAGCUUCAUUCCCAUAGCUCCUUAUAGACUUUUCCAAAAUUUGGACGUGAACCUUGGGUCUCUGUCAGACACAAUGGACACAGGUACGCCGUGUAAUCUCAAAACCUCCUUAAUGUACAACUGUGUCAAUUGGUCUAAAUUGAAUGUCAUUUUCACUGGAAGAAAAUGAGCUGACUUUGUUAAUCGAUCCACUAUUACCCAUACAACGUUGUUUCCACUUGCUGACUUCGGGAAUCCAACCACAAAGUCCAUUGUGAUAUUUUCCCAUUUCCAUUCUGGUAUGUCCAAUGGAUUUAACAAUCCAGUCGGUCUUUGGUGUUCUACCUUAACCUGUUGACAUACCAUGUACUUUUCCACGUACAACCCUAUACUUCUUUUCAUAUUUCUCCACCAAGAUGUAUCUCGGAGGUCUCGAUACAUUUUUGUGCCACCAGGAUGUGCGGUGUACGGGGUGGAAUGGGCCUCUUUCAAUAUCUCGUUUCUCAAGGCUUCAUCCUUAGGCACACAAAUUCUCCCCUUAAAUAUCAGUGCCUGAUCCGAAGCUAUUCCAAAAUCAUUUCUCUUAUCAGUACCAAUUUCAUUCUUGAUCUUCAACAAGAAUGGGUCAUUACCUUGUGUCUCUAUAAUUCGAUCUCUAAGAGUAGGUCGAAUUAUCAAAGCUGUUAGACGAGCAGUGACUUGUCCUGGUAUGGUAACCACUUCGAUCUGCAACUUUUUCAAGUUCUUGACUAACUCCAUUUGAAAAGUGGGUAGUGACGCCAACUGUUCCAUUGAUUUUCUACUUAAGGCAUCGACCACAACAUUAGCCUUACCUGGAUGGUAAUGGAUAGUGCAAUCGUAAUCAUUCACCAAUUCCAACCAUCGUCUUUGUUGCAUAUUCAAUUCCUUUCGUGUGAAUAAAUAUUUAAGACUCUUGUGCUUUGUGUAGAUAUCGUACUUCCCUUCAUACAAGUAGUGUCGCCAUAUCUUCAAGGCGUAUACUACCGCCGCAAGUUCUAAAUCAUGCAUCGAGUAGUUCUGCUCAUGUUUCUUCAAUUGUCUCGAUGCAUAGACUAUCACUUUUCCAUUCUGCAUCAGCACACAUCCCAAUCCUUGCUUGGAUGCAUCACUGUAUAUAACAAACCAUUCGGUACCCUCAGGUAUUGUUAACACGGGUGCUGAUAUCAACCUCUGUUUAAAUUCUUGGAAACUUUGUUCACAUUUAUCCGUCCAUUGGAAUUUUGCUCCCUUCAACCUUUAUCGUCUCUUGUUUCCCUCCUGAAAGAUUUACUAAAUAUCCUUGACAUGUUUCUUUUCUCAACAUCUUCUCAGCUUGUAAAAUCGAUACUAGUCAAAUAAGGGGUUUCGUCUUCAUUCCAAGGAACGAAAAUGGUUCCUCUCCUGGUUUCUGAAAUGAUACCUCUCUUUCUUUACAUCGGAUGGUGGUGUAAUUACAACCCAACCAAUCCAUGCCUAGUAUUACAUCGAAAUCCUUCAUUUCUAUCAUGUAUAGGUUCGCUUCCAUUGGUUUUCCCUCAACUUCAAUACUUACUGAUCUGGCUAUUCUAUCAGUACUCAAAUGGUUGCUUGAAGGAAUGCUAACCUCUAAUGUACCUUCCGACUUAUCACAGGUAAUACUAGAUUUAGCCAUAAACGAUGGGACAUAAGUAUCAUGCUUAUAUCUGGGUUCAACCCUUGUUCAAACUUCCUGACUUUCUUGUCCUCCGUAUCCACCAGAUGUGGAGUAUGCCUUGAAAGUUGGACAAACUUCCUUUCAUACUUAGUCAGGGACAUAGUCCUUUGCUUGAGUUAGAGAAAUUCACUUUCUUUGUGAUCCCUCAAAGACUGUGGGAAGUACUUGUCCAUUACUUCCUCUUUCAAUCGCUCCCAAGUCAAUUUCGCUUGUUGCUCUGGGGUCCUCGUCCUUGACAUCGAGUCCCACCAGUGGCUUGCAUCAUCGGAGAACAUAAACUCAGCACACUGGACCUUCUGGGCAUCCGUGCACCCUAUUAAUCAGGAUAUUCUCUCCAACUUGCGUGCCACUCCUCGGCUGCAAGUGGAUCAGCUGCUCCAUUGAAGGUAGGGGGCUUGUGUCUUCUAAAUUGCUCGACCACUGAAGCAUGGGUUGGAGGAGCAUUAGGAGCUAAUGGUAGGGGUUGCGCUUGGUUUGGGUUUUGCCUGCCAAGGUCUUGGACCGCUUGGAGGAGAUUUCUUAUCAAGUUGGUUUGGUUUGCGCGGGCCAUUUUUCUUUUCUUAUUAGUUUCAUACUUUGAAUUCUAACAAAGAAGAUAAAGUUUUAUUUCUUGACAUAAAGGAAGUUGUUACAAGGAUUUAAAUCUAAUCCCUAUAAGUUCUACGGAUCUUCUUUGGUGGAGCCUCAUCUCCAGAGGAGUCUUCCGCCUUAGGUCUGGAUUCUAUGUCCAUCUCAACCUAUGGCUCGGGCUCAGGAUCAUUCCCUUCUUCAGGCUCUUCUUCUUCAUCAAAUUCAAUUACUAUCUCUGGUUGAGGUUCUAAGUUUUCCUUCCAUAGGUCUAGGAGUGAUUGGCAAUACACUUUAAAUUCAAAUAUAUUUGGGUGCUCCUCUAGCAUUACAUCCCUAAUCAUGACUCUCAUAUCUCCCCCAUUGAGGUGGAAGGAAGUAUAUGAGGUUAUUUAUAGCCUCAAUAUGCAUUAUCUCCAUUCCAGCGUUCACCGCUGUCAUGCAUCUCUUAUAGACAUCAUGUAUAUGUUCGUCAAGUGGACGGAGCAGAUCAGUCACGUAAUUCUCAUCGGACUGAAUGGCAAUUCUACGGUUCAAUGCUCCUCUAUAUGCCCUAGUCGUUCUACGAGCCAUAUCUGUUGUAUUUUCACAUAUCAUACACUUUUUUUUUACUCUUGGAAAAAUGGCUACUGUUACAUAACAUUCUACCUAUAAAUUCUAGCCCAGUGCGUAUCUUUUGAAAAAAAACACAUCUUUCAAAUCAUUUCUAACUGGCAUAGUAUAUCUUUGAAAAUAAGCACAAGUUGUACCAUAGCAUCGCAAAGUAUCAUAACAUAAUCUUUUCGUGAAAACAUUAACUUUGAACAUACCUGGGCCAUAGGCUGAGAUUGAUGGAUGGAUGCAAGAUGCCAUGGAGUAUCUUAGACUUUUUCAACAUACUUGGUCUACAGAACCGGCUAAACCGUUUUUUUAAAAAAAAAAAUUUGGUCUACAGAACCGGCUAAACCGUGCUCUGAUACCACGCUAUAACGCCCCGACCCCUUGUGGACCGGAACACUACUUAUUUUACUUAACUAACCGGUGGUUUAGUCAUAGAAGAAUAUGUUUUAGCGGAAGCUUAAUUUUUACAAUGAUAAUUUUAACAACCUUUCGAAUACUUUAAAUAAAACACUGAACAAAAAAAUAAAGGAACGUAAUUUAUUUGAAGAAAACACAACCUGUUCUCGCGUUCAGCGUUAUUCAAAUAUUCUAAAGAAAUAAUAUUGAAAACGUUCACAAAAAUAAAUCUAAAUAACUUGUUCACCGGGUUUUCCAUGGGCUCGUUGCACCACUCUCCAUCUUUUCCAUCAUUCAGGCCCAAUAUAGAAUCAUAUCAAUUUGUAGAGAAGGGGUUAAACCCAUGAGUUAAAAAAACUCAAUAGAUAUCAUUGGUGUAUUCGUGAUCAAGCUAUACAUUUCAAAGCUGUAAGUUUAGAAACAUUUUCAUAGUAUGAUUUCCGGUAGAAUCCCAAACACAUAGAGUCAUGACUUAACACGACGCCUCGACCGGAAGUACAUGCCGUACCCGGAGGUACCAUUAGAUAUGGAGGUGUAUGCCAUACUGGAUGUACCAUUAGACAUACAAACAUUAACAUAAAUAUUCAUUUGUUAGAAACUUAUAACUUAAUACGAAUUAACACUUUACACCUCUACCUACCUUGAUUGAUGCUUUGAACCUUGUUGAAAAAUGUAUUCCUUUGAUAUUUCAAAAAAAAAAAAAACACUCCGUUGAGAAUUGAUGCUUGGAAAACACUUCUUGAUAGUACCAAAAUUUCUAGGAAAAACUAAUUUUCCUCCCUCUCCUUUCUCUUUUUCCUAGACUUGAAAACUCUCUCUUUUAUGUUUAGAAACUUUUGUCUUGGUGUGAAAAAUGUGUAUGCAUUGGGGCCUAUUUAUAGGUAAAAAUCUCACAACUUAAGGGCAAGUGAAGGGCCUAAUACUCAUUAAUACGGGUGUCAUUUAUGAGGGAGUUAUAGGUUUAAGAAGGUGUUAGAAAAUCGUGUAGGAAUUUGACUUUUCAUAUUCCGCGUACUUCGAUUGAUACUGUACAAUUUUUAGUAUUUUUAUCAUAGCUUCUUCUCUCAAUAUCCGAUUGAGGUAAUUCAAAGUGCGUUGGAAAGCUAACUCAAAGAGCUACAACUUUUCUUGAGAUAUCAUUUUUCAAAUCAAAUGUUUUCUAUGUCGUAAAUGGGUCUCAAAUGAGACUAAAAGUCUGAAGUAUACUUUAGCCAUCCAAUAUUCGUUUCUUAGUGCCACUAAGGUGUUUAAAAUUAUUUGGGGUUCUACAAAUGACAAGCUUGUGGGCUAAGCUUGGCCCUUAAUCGUCGUCUCUUUGAUAAGAUGAGCUCGUGGACAAUGGCCCUGAGUUGCCUCGGGUCAGCCCAUUGCUACCUCUGAACCUAUACUUUGAUUAAUGGCAAGAUUAUAGGAAAAUUAUGCUCGGUACAAAUUCUGGUCCCAAUACUUCCCUAUUUCUCAACCACGUAAGAAAGCAAAUUUCUAAAAGAACGAUUCGCCACCUUAGUCUAACCAUUGGUCUGAGGGUGAUAAGCACUGCUAAAACAAAGGUCCAUAUUAGGCAAACCCCACAAGUUGUAGCAGAAGUGGUUAGUGAAAUGAAUGUCACAGUCCGAUGUAAUAGAUGUAGGCGAUAGUGCAAGCAAUAAAUUUCUUGAAAGAAUAGCUGGGUCCAGGGGCGAGUUCAGUUAGGGCGGAUCGCGAGCAUUGAAAGCUUACUAUCGAUUGCCAACAUUUGUGAUAGCAAGAUUGUUUAUUAAUAUUUAAUUAAAUAACAUUCAAAAAAAACGUACGAAUUAGAACUAAAAGAACAAGAUACACCACUAGAACUAGAAUUAGGUACGAACUUUCAUUUUAGAUGAAAAAUCGUUCCAUAAUCUGCAAAAUGCCCUAAUUUAUUUUUCAAUUAAAUAUGCAAUAUAUAUUAAUAAAAUGUCAAUAUUCAGUUUACAAUUAAAGUUAAUUAAACAAGUAUUAUUAUAUUAACAAAAUUGAAAUUAUUUAUGUACUUGUAUAAUUUUACUUUUUUGCAAUUGAUUUUUUAUGAACGAAUGCAACCUUUUGUUAAUUAAAUAAGUUAUGUUUAAAGAUUUCUUAUGACACUAAGGCGAAUUUUCCUAUAAAUUCAUCCACAUUAAUUGACGAAACUCUAAAAUGAAUUGAUUAGAGGGAAAAAAGAAAAAGAAAAUCAAGAAGAGGGACAAAGCACCGAUUAAAAUGUUUUUACUUGCAUUAAACUAAUAAAAUUAAACAUUUAUUAUUUUGUUAUAUUAUGUGCUAAAAUUCAAUAAGUGCCAUGAUGGUAAAGUGAUUAAUAUGUUUAAGAAAUGUAGCAAGUUUGAAUCACAUUUCUUGUAUUUGUUUUGGUAAAAAUUGUUGAAAUAUAAAGAUUAUAAAAAAUAUUGCUCUUGAAGAGUUUUGAACACAGGACCUCCAAUUUAAUAAUGGAAGGACCAACCAGCCGAGCUAUUAUAAUCUAAAAAUUCUAUCUACUAUCAGUAAAAAAACAAUUCUCCCCCGCGAAUCCAGCAAGGGCAGCCACAACUGAAUCUGCCCCUGGCUAGGUUACAAAGGCUGCAUCAGCAGUGAACUUGCAAAGGAUGAAGUGCACCAUCUUAUAAAAUCUAUUAACCAUCAUAAAGAUAGAAUCACAACCUUACUAGGUAUGGGAAAGGCCCAACAAAUCCCACACUCAGGACUAUGGUUGAGAAGGAAUUAGCAGCGGCAUAUAAAGACAUACAUAAAUGUCUGGCCCUUGAAUGGCAGUGGUCACUACAUUUGGCCAAAUGGAUGGCCAGACGAAGGAACACAUGACAAGGUCGAGUAUACGAUCUCGACCAACGUGACUCUCGCGAUGAGACUCACUAAUGAUUGAUAGCCACAGACUACAAUCCAGAACACAAAGAUGAAAUCCCUCAAUUGGCUGGCCCGAAUCAACUCCAGUACACAAAGUUAAAGACUCACUAAUGAUUUACAGCGAGAGAUCAAGAACCUGACAACUUCUAACUAAAUAAGGCACGAAGCGCCCUCUCUGCUCAACCGUCUCAACCCUGAACUUAAGAGGCAUCACAUUGUAGCUCAAAGGGCAACGAAAAAUCAAGAAAAACAAAAAAUGGGCCGAAAACAGCUUUUGUGACAAGACGAUACAGUUUUUGUGCUUUCAUUAUGAUUAGGAAAAACUAGUUCUUUCUGUAAGAUUGUUAAAAUUUUUAUGUUAUCACGUCGUUUUGGGGAAAAAAAAGUUUAAACUUAUUUUCCACUCAAUCUCUUACAAAGAUUUAUGUGUUCAUAUAUUUUCGACCUCAUCCUUGUGCCCCUAGCCAUGUUAGGACAGUUCGUUAUUUAACUUUAUAUUUUAUUUUUGUUCUUGGAAAAUUACACUCAGGUUACAUUGCCAUAAAUGUGUGUGUGUGUGUGUGUAUAUAAUUAAAAUUACAUCUGACAUUAAUGAACAAGGACUAACUUCUUCUUCUUCUUCUUUUAUUAUUAUUAUUAUUUUUUUUUUUGGUAUCCAACAAGAAUUAUCUUUCUUACGGUUAAAAAGUCCAAUUUAGCCUACAUUUGGCUUCUGAUGUCUAAAAUUCAAAUUUUUUAUACUUAUAUUCAACCUUACAUUUUAUGAAAUUCACAAUUUUGUAAAAUUUUCCAAUUAUGCAGUCUAUUAUCUUUUAUUUAAACUUGCUAAAAAUCUAUUUUUUUGCUAAACCAAUUAGUUAUUCCCAUAGAAAAUCUACAGAGAAACAUUUCUUCCAAGUCACAAGAUAAGAGUCAUUUCCAUUAUCUUUCUUUGAUUACAGAUCAAGAUGAAUUUAUAUCUAUCUAAGUAUAUUUAGAUAGAUAUCUAUCAGAUCGUGACUUCAUGUACCAAACAUUUCUAUAUCGCUGCAUCCGAUAUUUUUGUUUCGACAGUGUGAUGGAGUAUGGAUGCGAGAAAGAGACUUUCAUUUUUUUUAUGAAAAAAAUAGGAAAUUCUCUCUUUUUAAGAGAUUAAACUCAAUAGAAAAAUAUUCGAAAUGUCUUUUUUGCUUUGACCCGUGAGAAGAUAUACUUUGGAGUUUUAGAUUUAUCUAAAGGAAAAUGAGAUAUAAUAAAGAAGACACUCAAAGAAAAUGAAAAAAGAAAUUAAUAAAAUAAAGUAAUUGUAAUAGUUUAGUAUACAUAGAAAUUAGAAUAGUCUGUAGAUCUCUUUAUUUUGAAAAAUCUCACGAACAAGAUCUAAAAGUAACAUUAGUUAAUUGAACAAGAGGGGGUAGGUCGGAGGAUCGGUUAAUGGUGAGAGAGGGGAUCGCUUGUUCCUUGAAAAGUUCUUUCAAAGGAUUCAUCUAUCCGAUUGAUGAAUCAUAAGAAGACAAUUCAUGGUUCAUAUGCUUAGUAAGAAAGAAUAAUCAAAUUGAGUUUAUGGAUUUCCCUAGGUCAGUUUAUGGGCCAAUAAAGGAUUUUGAUCUUCGAAACCCAUUGGAAGGGACAGUGCAAGAUAAAUCAUAGAGAAAUAAUCGAAUCUUCGGACGCCCCGAAAAUACUAUGUGGUGCUCGGAAAUGGUCAAAGUAGUUGAAUAGGAGGAUGAUUAUGACUAUAGCCCUUGGUAAAUUUACCAAAAACGAAAAUGAUUUAUUUGAUAUUAUGGAUGACUGGUUACGGAGGGACCGUUUGUUUUUUUUGGCUGGUCCUGUCUAUUGCUCUUUCCUUAUACCUAUUUCGUUGUAGGGGAUUGGUUCACAGGUACAACCUUUGUACCUUCAUAGUAUACCGAUGGAUUGGCCAGUUCCUAUUUGGAAGGCUGUAAUUUCUUAACAGUCACAGUUUCUACUUUUGCUAAUAAUUUAGAGUAUUCUUUAUUGUUACUGUGGGUCCUGAAACACAAGGAGAUUUUACUUGUUGGUGUCAAUUAGGCGGUCUGUGGACUUUUGUUGUUCUCCAUGGCGCUUUCGGACUAAUAGGUUUCAUGUUACAUCAAUUCGAACUUGCUCGAUCUGUUCAAUCGUAACCCUAUAAUACAAUCGCAUUCUCUGGUCUAAUUGCUGUUUUUGUUUCUGUAUUCCUGAUUUAUCCAUUAGGUCAGUCUGGUUGGUUCUUUGCACUAGUUUUGGCGUAGCAGCUAUAUUUCGAUUCAUCCUCUUUUUUCAAGGAUUUCAUAAUUGGAUGCUAAACCCAUUUCAUAUGGUGGGAGUUGUCGGUGUAUUAGGUGCUGCUUUGCUAUGCGCUAUUCAUGGUGCUACCAUAGAAAAGACUUUAUUUGAAGAUGGUGAUGGUGCAAAUACAUUCCGCGCUUUAACCCAACUCAAGCUGAAGAAACUUAUUCAAUGGUCACCGCUAAUUGCUUUUGGUCCCAAAUCUUUGGGGUUGCUUUUUCCAAUAAAUGUUGGUUACAUUUCUUUAUGUUAUUUGUACCAGUAAUCGGUUUAUGGAUGAGCGCUCUUGGAGUAGUCGGUCUGGCCCUAAAUCUACGUGCCUAUGACUUUGUUAAAAUGACUAUAAUACUAUUGUGCAUUUUAAAUAAUUAAAAGGAAAAGUAAAAGUAAAGGAAAGGUAAAAAAGAAGAAAAAGAAGGAUUUCUAGUGUGGGAUUCAAUCCUCAACAUUUCUUUGAAUAAAUGCGCUAUCAAAUGUUACCUAAAAUCAUAACGACUACUAGAAACAGCACGAUCCCAUAGUCAAACAGAAAUUCACUCAGUAACCAUUUAUAAUUUGUUAGUAACUUUUUGGUAGAGUUAAUUCAAUCAAUGACUACUAAACUUUACUAAACGUUACCACUUCCUCAUCUAAAUUUAAAAAGGUUACUCUUCGCUCGUUGAACUUUGCUAUAAAUUACUACUUGUUCACCGAAAUUUAAACGGCACUUAUUGCUCACCCAAAGUUAAAUAAAGUUUCUCAUCAAUCACCCAUCUAAUUUUCAUGAGUGUUACUUGUUGUAAAUUUUAGUAAGCAACGGGUAACUUUAUUCAAAUUUGUGUGAGCAAUGAAUAAUCUUUUAAAUUUCGAUGAGUAAGUAGUAAUCUAUAACAAAGUUGAAUGGACUACGAGCAACUUUCAAAGAUAAGUAAGCAAGUAAUAAUUUAUAGCAAAGUUCAGCGACCAUUCAGUCCAGUUUGAUUCUGAUUUUCACCCCAAAAAAAUCAAUUUUUUGACUCUCACUUUCAAUAGUCAAUCGUCAUUUUUGGCUUCUUCACGCUCACAAAUAGGACACAAUUUUCUCUCUAAAAAAAAAUUAAUUUUCAUAAUCAAUAUCAAAUAGGCCCUGAAUUGAACAAUUUCCUGACGCCUUUGAUUUUGGUUACGAAGGUAGAAUCUAAAAUACAAAAAUCAGAUUUAUACCUGAAAUUUGAGAAAAUGUCCAAAAAAACUACUCAACAAUUAAAAAAGAAAUUCUUUCUAUUGUUGUUUGUGUUUCAAAAUUUAUGACUUAUUGAAUCAAGAAUUUUUAAGAGAUUACAAAUCUGCUAAAAAUACUCUUAGAAGAUGUUAAAAUAUUGCUCUAAUUGUCCUCCGCCGACUUCUCCACUUUUCUGUUCUCUUUCCACUUGGCUGAAGUAGGUGUUAAUUUUUGCUUCUUUUUGUUUUAUUUUCCCUGAUCUGGGUUUGGCUAGCCAUUGCCUCAUCAAUUAUUUGUCUUCUAGUAUGCAAUUUUUUGUUGCUCACUUUAUAUUUGUAAUAUCUAUAGUAACAUCAAGUAAAUUUAUACUCGUCCUAUUUUGGUUAAAAAGCAAAAGACUUGCUCAAUAACAUAAAGAAAAGUCUCGCAAUUGUUGUACUGAUGAAUGAUGUCCUAUGCUAUGCAUUUUUCUGUGUUUUGGUUACAAGAAAAUUCUGUCAAAUUAUUGCAUGAAUACAAUCAUGUGAGAUUGCACUCCAGGUGUUUGUGGAAAUGCGAGACCCACAUGCUAAUAUUGGGAAUGGCUUGGGUAGAGGAUCGACUUAUCUAUAACUAACUCUUGAUGCGAUAAUAAUGCAGAAUGAAAAACGAAGAUGUGCAUUUAAAUUUAGUCUAUUUUGUAUGGAUUGCUGACUGCUAAUUUUUAAAUUUGUUAGAGACUACAAGUAGUGAAGAAAAGCUGAGACCUUAAACCCGCCAUUAAUGUCACAUUUAUUUAUUUAUGUUUUGUAGUGAACUUACAGCGCGUUUCACUUAAUCUCAACUUCAGGUUUUGUUCAAGCUCUUGUAACUGGUAAAAGGUUGUGCCUGUUUUCUGUUAGUUACACGAUCAAUUUCGAAAUAGAUUGUAAGCUAAAGCCAAGAACCCUGAAAGUGUAUGCCUGGAAGGUGGUGUCAUAAAGUGUACAUAGUCAAUAUUUGCUUCUAAUUUCUCAAGAUACAUAUAAGGCUUCAAAAUUGAUUUCUCAAUAGCAAAUGGUACAAAAUCACAAUAUAGAGCUAGAAAGUAUUUACAUGAACAAGUUAAAUGGAAGAGCACCAAGAAAAUAAAAAUUAAUAGACACUCACCUUGCUUCCAGCUGGGUAAUGGUCAUUUCAUUGCAUGAACUAGUUAUGCUUUUACCUAUGGAUACAUCUCUUUCUNNNNNNNNNNNNNNNNNNNNNNNNNNNNNNNNNNNNNNNNNNNNNNNNNNNNNNNNNNNNNNNNNNNNNNNNNNNNNNNNNNNNNNNNNNNNNNNNNNNNNNNNNNNNNNNNNNNNNNNNNNNNNNNAUCUCCAAGACAAUAAUUACAUGUCCAAGAAGGUUGAGGUGCUGAUCUCCAUGGAAAAAUCCACUAUUUCUCUUGCCAAUCACGAUUUCCAGAACUAGAACUCCAAAGCUAAAUACAUCUGAUUUCUGUGAGAAUCGUCCAUGUACUGCAUAUUCUGGUGACAUGUAACCACUGCAUGGAAGUAUUAGCCAG
rnacentral:lncRNA from 1 species